ensembl:lncRNA
CAGAGGUGGAUUUGGAACUGGAGUUCAAUGCGACCUCCACAGUACCUAUCCCCAAGGGCAGUGACAUUGUUGAAACAUUGAAAGAGGCUGUGACCAAUCCAAACUCUAACUUCAACUUAUCUUUGGAUCUGAACUCCAUCACUGUGAUAAGGACCUCAAGCACAGCCACAAAUGUCUCGACAAAUACAACAGCUACACCUGUUGCAACAUCAACAACAAAAGGAAUCACAACCACUACUUCCAUCUCAGUCGCUGUUCCUGUUACCACAGUACCUGGUUCUGCCAUCACAAUACCAACUGGAGAACCCAUCACUGUUCCUGUUACUGGUUAUACAACUACAACCACAUCUGUGGCCCCCUCAACUACUGUUUCAAGCACAGCACCAACAUUGGCUAUGACAACUACCAGCACAACUCCAACAACUACUUCUACUACUACGACAACAACUACCACAACGACUGCACAUCUUGCAGUGGUUACAUUACAAGUCACCAUACAAGAGGUUUUUGUACCAGCUUUGAGUAAUCCUCAAAGCACAGAAUUUCAAACACUUGCGGUAACCAUUACUUCAGUGUGUGACGUGAUCUAUCGAGCAAAAUAUGGGAUAUUUUUCAUCCGGACGAUUGUCAUUUCAUUCAUACCAGUGUUCCGUUCUCGUAUGGCAGCAGACACACAGGUGGAGCUGGAAGUGGUGUUCAAUGAGACCGCCAUUGCAACUAUCGCUCAUGCAACUAUGCCCAAGGACAUUGACAUUAAAGACACACUGAAAGAGGCUGUGACCAAUCCAAACUCUACCUUCAACCUCUCUGUGGUUCCAAACUCCAUCACUAUUAUCAGGACCCCAAUUAUAACCACAAAUUUCACAACAAAUACAGUGGCUACUCCUAUCAUCAUCAUAACCGAUAUGAACACAAUGACUGCCCCUACCACCACAACUGCUGUGACCACAAUGACCACGCCAACCACCACAAGCGCUCCAUCCACCACAACCGUUGCAGCCACCAUUACACUUACUACAGUGCCUGUGGAGUUCACUUCUAGAGAGACAUUUACCUCCGACCUAUCAAACUCAUCCUCUCAGGCCUUUCAAACUCGAGCAUCACUGAUUAAAACACAGCUUGAACCUUUCUAUCAAUCAGCUUUCACAUCAUUCAACAGUUUGACAGUGACCGAAUUCAGAAAUGGAUCAAUCAUCAACACUAUGAAUUUAGCAUUUAGAUCUUCUGUCCUCAAUUCCACGAAGAUUGGGACCAUUUUAAUAAAUUCUGCACAGAAAAUCACAGCUUUCAACAUUGUCACCACCACAAUUAAGGUCAAUGGCACAGGUGGUCCUACAUCUGCUGUUCCUACUACAACUACUGAGGCUGGCACAACCAUCACAAAACCAACUGGAAAACCUGCCACUGUUCCUGUGACUGGGCCUGCAACUACAACAACAUUUGUGGCCCCCACAACUACAGUUUCAAGCACAGAAUCAACAUUAACCAUGAAGACUACCAGGACAACCACUACCUUAACACCAACUACAACAACAACAACAACGCCAAUAACAACCAAAACAACUACACAUCCUGUCGUGUUUACAUUAAAACUCACAAUUGAAGUUUUAUAUGUACCAGCAUUGACCAACACUGAAAGCACAGAAUUUCAAACACUUGCACUAACCAUUACUUCAGAGUGUGAUGAGAUCUACCAAUCAAAAUAUGGGAUCAUUUUCAUCCAGACGAUCGUCAUUGCAUUCUUACCUGUGUCCCGACGUUCCCUUAUGCCAGCAGAAACACAGGUGGAAAUGGAAGUGGUAUUCCAACAGAUCUCCGCAGAAUCUAGGAUGAGUAAUGACAUUGAAAAUACACUGAAAGAGGCUGUGACCAAUCCAAACUCCAACUUCAAUGUCUCUGUGUAUCCGGACUCCAUCACUGUUAUUAGGGUCCCAAAUACAUCCACAGGUGCCACCACAAUUACACCGGCUACUCCUGUCAUCACAACUGUUGUCCCAGCUGCUCCAACCACUACAACGGCUGCUGCCACCACAACCUCUGUGGCCACAAAUACACUCACUACAGUGUCUGUGGAGUUCACGUCCAAAGGAGAGACAUUUAUCUCCGACCUAUCAACCUCAUCCUCUCAGGCCUUUCAAACUCGAACAUCACUGAUUAAAACACAGCUUGAACCUUUCUAUCGAUCAGCUUUCACCUCUUUCAACAGUUUGACAGUAAUAAAAUUCAGAAAUGGAUCAAUCAUUAACACCAUGAAUUUAGCAUUUAGCUCCUCCGCUGUGCCAAAUUCCAAGGAAAUUGGCACCGUUUUGAUAAAGGCUGCACAAAACAUCACAGCUUUCAACAUCAACCCCACGUCAGUUACUGUCAGCGGUGAAGUUGUGACCUCAAGUGGUAUAAGCAGCAAGACCAGUCUCUUCACUGCUUCCUGUCUGGUGGUGUUGUCGCUGCUGCUGUCAAGCUAGUCUCAGCAGCAAGCAGCAGUAUGAAAUAUCUUAACUUUGAAAAUGUAUUUACCUCAUGUCCCCCACUCCCAUCAUAUGUAAUGGCAACCUAUUUAAUCAGUAUUUGUUAACCUAAGUUGAUUCUCAUUAUAGUUAUAGUUAUUAUACUCAUUAUUCAAAUUGAAAUAAACAUAUUCUAAUCAAUUGGAGCUUAUUGCUGUGGUACAUUUACUUUGUCUUACAUUACAUUGAAAAGUUUAUUUUCCAACAAAAUGAGGAUUAGCAGAUUAAAAUGUAACGUCUUUAAUAAUUUAGAAGUGCAUCCCAGUCAUUUUGUACUCAUUUGAUGUGUGGCCCCAGUGGCAGAAAAUGUAUUGAAAUGUAAGAGUUGACGUUCUUCCAUGAUCAGAUAUUGUUUGGUUGUUCUGCAUAUUGUACAUUAUGCGUUUUAUAAACGUCUAAUGAUGUCACAUGCACAGUGGCGAUUUUAUCAUGUAAAUUAUGGUGGGGCAAACAUUUUUUUUUCUAGAUAGCUGCCAGCAAACCCACUAUACAACACAACACUAAACAAUACAUGAAUUGCACUGUAACAGUGUCAAAUGGUGCCCACACACUGUUAGGGCAUAAAACCUUCCAAACAGCAGAGUCCCAACACCUUAACACUGCUACACCUGGCUAUCAGCGGAGCCUUGUCUGGCAGCGAAACAGUUCAUUCAGCCUCAUUUAGUGCCUUUCAAAAACAAAUUGCUGACAUGGCUGACUUGCUUAAACAAAUGUGGUUUCUACUGACAAUUGAGGUGUACAAACUAUGGCAUAAGGGGACGACGAGUGGAUAGGAGGCAAUCCAUCAUUUUGAUUAUGACAUUAAUGAGAGCGCUAGGACGGACGUAGUCAAUGUGACGACCCUCCCACUCUGUCUGCAGUAUUCUGUCUUUGUUCUUGUUUCCUUAUUAGGAUGCCGGUGGGCGGAGUUGGGAGGGUCGUCAGCUUCAUGGGCCAGGUGUCUCCCAGGAUAAAUAGACCUCUUCCACAUUCAUGGAAGAGACUCUCUCCAUGCAGACACCUUUGUAGAUGCUGUUGUGGUUCUUGGUGGCCUUUUGUUUGUUUGCUUUGGCACCUUUCAACACCCUGCAUUCUCACAUUCAUGCAUGCAAAACACUCACUUACACUACUGAGUACACACACCAUUGUAUAUUUUCCUUAGUUGCUUUAGUUAAUAAAUAUAUAUUUUGUUACUCCUUA